rnacentral:rRNA from 1 species
GUUGGUGGGGUAAUUGCCUACCAAGGCUGUGAUGGGUAGCCGGCCUGAGAGGGUGACCGGCCACACUGGGAUUGAGAUACGGCCCAGACUCCUUCGGGAGGCAGCAGUCGAGAAUCUUCCACAAUGGACGAAAGUCUGAUGGAGCGACGCCGCGUGAGUGAUGAAGGCCCUACGGGUUGUAAAACUCUGUCAGGAGAGAAGAACCGCCGGGAUGCCAAUACCAUCCCGGUCUGACGUUAUCUCCAGAGGAAGCUCCGGCUAACUCCGUGCCAGCAGCCGCGGUAAUACGGGGGGAGCAAGCGUUGUCCGGAAUUAUUGGGCGUAAAGGGCGUGUAGGCGGUUAGGUCAGUCGAAUGUGAAAUCCCACGGCUCAACCGUGGAACUGCGUUCGGUACUGCCUGACUUGAGUAUGUGAGAGGUGUGUGGAAUUCCUGGUGUAGCGGUGGAAUGCGUAGAUAUCAGGAAGAACACCGAUGGCGAAGGCAGCACACUGGCGCAAUACUGACGCUGAGACGCGAAAGCGUGGGGAGCAAACAGGAUUAGAUACCCUGGUAGUCCACGCCGUAAACGAUGGGUACUGGGUUUCGGGAGUCUCAACCCUCUCGGAGCCGUAGCUAACGCGUUAA